UACAGAGGGGGCAAGCGUUGUUCGGAAUUACUGGGCGUAAAGGGCGCGUAGGCGGCCUGCUAAGUCGAACGUGAAAUCCCCGGGCUCAACCCGGGAACUGCGUCCGAGACUGGCGGGCUUGAAUCCGGGAGAGGGAUGCGGAAUUCCAGGUGUAGCGGUGAAAUGCGUAGAUAUCAGGAGGAACACCGGUGGCGAAGGCGGCUCUCUGGACCACAACUGACGCUGAGGCGCGAAAGCGUGGGGAGCAAACAGG
rnacentral:rRNA from 1 species